UAUUGUGUUUGUCUCUGCC
rnacentral:miRNA from 1 species